AAAGAGACCUUCUCUUUUUCUUUCUUUCAAAGACACUUGGCUGGAAAAAGAAAAGGAUGACAUAGACAAGCAGCCAUCUUGGGUGGCCCGUGGGCCUCUGAGGAGGCAGCAUUGCGCCUGAUGGCUCCAGGAAGGCCCCUCCGGCUUGUGAUUGGGAAAUGUUUACUCCUGAUGGAAUUCUGUGGUUGUUGAAAUCUGGUCGGCCUCUCAUGGCUUUAAGUAAGAAGCCUUCAGAAGCAAGCCAUGAGACAUUCGCCUCCUCCCUCCCUUUCUUCCUUCCACAAGCAUUUAACCAGCUGAGUAGGUGAGUAGGUGUUGGGCUAGCAGCUACUGACAGCCCAGCAGUGAAUGAAGCGUAGCCUUGUUCCCAGAGGACCUCAGAAGGAAAGGUGGACGGAGGAUACCAAUGUCAGACAACACAAAAAGAAUGAGUCAAAAAAGAGGCAGUGGAGUCCAGAAGAGAGGAGAGAAGAAACACAGGGACCUGUGAGUCAGCCAAGCUGUCCCUGAAGAAGUAGGAUCUGUUCCAAGAACAGAAGGAACUCAUGGGCAUCUGUGGUCAUGUUCACUCAUCAGGGACAGAGCACCUGGCAAAGCUGGCCCAUGAUGCAGCGCUCCUCUCCUCUCCCCAUAAUGGAUGGGUGGCGGUGCAGUGCAUGCUCCCCGUGGAAGCACGGACCCAGCGGGCCUUUCUCAGGCAAUCAUGUGGCUGUGUCUCUCUUCAUGGGGCUUCAAGACGAUGUCCCUCGAGGCCAUUUCUUAACUCUAAAUUCACAAGGUGGCUUGUGCUACCCUGGGAAAUGAUGUGAGAAGGACUUCAAAAACCCCUGGUGGCUGAAGAAUGGUUGAGGUUAAAACAAAUGGAAGGACGGCCAUCGUGCCAGGUACCAAAUGAACAUAAAUGAAAGAAAACCAGCCACCAGAUCAACCUCACAUGCCCUGCAUGGUGCCUCAGAAGCCAUGGAUUAGAGGCUCUGGCUUCUCCAAACAGAAACCCAUUGCCAAGCAAGAACCGCCUGUGUCCUGAGGCUUCAAGUUGCUCUUCCCAAUCACAAAACAAGAGACUGUGAGGUCACUGUCAGAAGUCUGAGCCUGGGACGAGAGUCGGCUCCCCCUCUCUGAUCCUGAGCUUGAGAGCAAAGCCUGCUCCAACUCCUGGGGGAUCCCCCUCGGCUACAUCUUGUUACCGCCCAUCGCUGAAGCCGUUCCCAAGCACCAUAGGCCACUUUGGGUGGUUGAAGAACCUAGUUCUGCAGUCAAGUUGGGGGACAGUCUAGAAGUCAAAGGUGAGGAAAUGGGGGGAGGGUAUACAUUAAAGAGACAAAAAGGGCUUUUGUUUUGUUUUGUUUUUUGGUGCUGGUGUCUGAAGCAGUGCUGGGACCCAGAUCUAAA
rnacentral:lncRNA from 1 species